rnacentral:tRNA from 1 species
GCCAACAUGGUGUAGUGGUUUGAGUACUGGACUAUGACUCUGGAGAUUAGGGUUCGAUUCCCUGCUCGGCC